rnacentral:rRNA from 1 species
CGGAUUGGAGUCUGCAACCCGACUCCAUGAAGCUGGAUUCGCUAGUAAUCGCGCAUCAGCCACGGCGCGGUGAAUACGUUCCCGGGCCUUGUACACACCGCCCGUCAAGCCAUGGAAGCCGGGGGUGCCUGAAGUGCGCUGCCGCGAGGAGCGCCCUAGGGUAAAACCGGUGACUGGGGCUAAGUCGUAACAAGGUAAC